rnacentral:rRNA from 1 species
UUCUGGCUCAGGAUGAACGCUAGCGGCAGGCUUAACACAUGCAAGUCGAGGGGCAUCGGGAGUAGCAAUACUUGCCGGCGACUGGCGCAAGGGUGCGUAACGCGUGAGCAACAUGCCCGUAUCAGGGGGAUAAUCCAUGGAAACGUGGUCUAAUACCCCAUAGUAAUUAUGUAAGGCAUCUUAUAUAAUUUAAAGCUUUGGUGGAUACGGAUUGGCUCGCGUGACAUUAGCUGGAUGGUAAGGUAACGGCUUACCAUGGCUACGAUGUCUAGGGGUUCUGAGAGGAAGGUCCCCCACACUGGAACUGAGACACGGUCCAGACUCCUACGGGAGGCAGCAGUGAGGAAUAUUGGACAAUGGAUGGAAAUCUGAUCCAGCCAUGCCGCGUGCCAGGAAGACGGCCCUAUGGGUUGUAAACUGCUUUUGUAUGGGAGCAAUAAGGGCUACGUGUAGUCCGAUGAGAGUACCAUACGAAUAAGCACCGGCUAACUCCGUGCCAGCAGCCGC